CUGUUCUCAAAUCAAGUGUCUAGCCAAAAUUUGUUAAGGACAGGUUGAGGACUCAAAAAUGCAGGGAGGGGUGAAAGUUUAAUGCAGAAAGACACAUUAAACAUAUUUGUUUUGAACACUGUAAUUUGUAUCAGACCUAGUAACUAAUAAAUUAUUCAGAAACAACGACACACUUUUCCGUUUGUAUCAGACCUAGUAACUAAUAAAUUAUUCAGAAACAACGACACACUUUUCCGUUAUUGGCUGGGAAACACAAAAAGCCAUAUGAUCAUGAUAACAACUUAACGAGUCAAAUUAAGACUUGAUCCAUAUGAAAACCACAUGACUGAUGUCCACAUCGCAUCA
rnacentral:lncRNA from 1 species